rnacentral:rRNA from 1 species
UGGGGAUUUUUGGACAAUGGCCGAAAGCCUGAUCCAGCCAUGCGGCGGGUGUGAAGAAGGCCUUGGGAUUGUAAAGCACUUUAAGUUGGGAGGAAGGGCAGUAAGCGAAUACCUGGCUGUUUUGACGUUACCGACAGAAUAACCACGGGCUAACUCGGUGCCAGCAGCCGCGGUAAUACAGAGGGUGCAAGCGUUAAUCGGAAUUACUGGGCGUAAAGCGCGCGUAGGUGGUUCGUUAAGUUGAAUGUGAAAGCCCCGGGCUCAACCUGGGAACUGCAUCCAAAACUGGCGAGCUAGAGUAGGGCAGAGGGUGGUGGAAUUUCCUGUGUAGCGGUGAAAUGCGUAGAUAUAGGAAGGAACACCAGUGGCGAAGGCGACCACCUGGGCUCAUACUGACACUGAGGUGCGAAAGCGUGGGGAGCAAACAGG